GGUUAAGCGACUAAGCGUACACGGUGGAUGCCCUGGCAGUCAGAGGCGAUGAAGGACGUGCUAAUCUGCGAAAAGCGCCGGCGAGGUGAUAUGAACCUUUGACCCGGCGAUGUCCGAAUGGGGAAACCCAGUGUGAUUCGUCACACUAUCGUUAACUGAAUACAUAGGUUAACGAGGCGAACCGGGGGAACUGAAACAUCUAAGUACCCCGAGGAAAAGAAAUCAACCGAGAUUCCCCCAGUAGCGGCGAGCGAACGGGGAGCAGCCCAGAGUCUGAAUCAGCUUGUGUGUUAGUGGAAGCGUCUGGAAAGUCGCACGGUACAGGGUGACAGUCCCGUACACGAAAGCACACAGGCUGUGAACUCGAAGAGUAGGGCGGGACACGUGGUAUCCUGUCUGAAUAUGGGGGGACCAUCCUCCAAGGCUAAAUACUCCUGACUGACCGAUAGUGAACCAGUACCGUGAGGGAAAGGCGAAAAGAACCCCGGCGAGGGGAGUGAAAAAGAACCUGAAACCGUGUACGUACAAGCAGUGGGAGCACCUUCGUGGUGUGACUGCGUACCUUUUGUAUAAUGGGUCAGCGACUUAUAUUCUGUAGCAAGGUUAACCGUAUAGGGGAGCCGAAGGGAAACCGAGUCUUAACUGGGCGUUAAGUUGCAGGGUAUAGACCCGAAACCCGGUGAUCUAGCCAUGGGCAGGUUGAAGGUUGGGUAACACUAACUGGAGGACCGAACCGACUAAUGUUGAAAAAUUAGCGGAUGACUUGUGGCUGGGGGUGAAAGGCCAAUCAAACCGGGAGAUAGCUGGUUCUCCCCGAAAGCUAUUUAGGUAGCGCCUCGUGAACUCAUCUUCGGGGGUAGAGCACUGUUUCGGCUAGGGGGCCAUCCCGGCUUACCAACCCGAUGCAAACUACGAAUACCGAAGAAUGUUAUCACGGGAGACACACGGCGGGUGCUAACGUCCGUCGUGAAGAGGGAAACAACCCAGACCGCCAGCUAAGGUCCCAAAGUCAUGGUUAAGUGGGAAACGAUGUGGGAAGGCACAGACAGCCAGGAUGUUGGCUUAGAAGCAGCCAUCAUUUAAAGAAAGCGUAAUAGCUCACUGGUCGAGUCGGCCUGCGCGGAAGAUGUAACGGGGCUAAACCAUGCACCGAAGCUGCGGCAGCGACACUAUGUGUUGUUGGGUAGGGGAGCGUUCUGUAAGCCGUUGAAGGUGUGCUGUGAGGCAUGCUGGAGGUAUCAGAAGUGCGAAUGCUGACAUAAGUAACGAUAAAGCGGGUGAAAAGCCCGCUCGCCGGAAGACCAAGGGUUCCUGUCCAACGUUAAUCGGGGCAGGGUGAGUCGACCCCUAAGGCGAGGCCGAAAGGCGUAGUCGAUGGGAAACAGGUUAAUAUUCCUGUACUUGGUGUUACUGCGAAGGGGGGACGGAGAAGGCUAUGUUAGCCGGGCGACGGUUGUCCCGGUUUAAGCAUGUAGGCGGAACGAUUAGGUAAAUCCGGUCGUUUUUUAACGCUGAGGUGUGAUGACGAGGCACUACGGUGCUGAAGUAACAAAUGCCCUGCUUCCAGGAAAAGCCUCUAAGCAUCAGGUAACAUCAAAUCGUACCCCAAACCGACACAGGUGGUCAGGUAGAGAAUACCAAGGCGCUUGAGAGAACUCGGGUGAAGGAACUAGGCAAAAUGGUGCCGUAACUUCGGGAGAAGGCACGCUGAUAUGUAGGUGAAGCCCCUGCGGGUGGAGCUGAAAUCAGUCGAAGAUACCAGCUGGCUGCAACUGUUUAUUAAAAACACAGCACUGUGCAAACACGAAAGUGGACGUAUACGGUGUGACGCCUGCCCGGUGCCGGAAGGUUAAUUGAUGGGGUUAGCGGUAACGCGAAGCUCUUGAUCGAAGCCCCGGUAAACGGCGGCCGUAACUAUAACGGUCCUAAGGUAGCGAAAUUCCUUGUCGGGUAAGUUCCGACCUGCACGAAUGGCGUAAUGAUGGCCAGGCUGUCUCCACCCGAGACUCAGUGAAAUUGAACUCGCUGUGAAGAUGCAGUGUACCCGCGGCAAGACGGAAAGACCCCGUGAACCUUUACUAUAGCUUGACACUGAACACUGGUCCUUGAUGUGUAGGAUAGGUGGGAGGCUUUGAAGUGUGGACGCCAGUCUGCAUGGAGCCGUCCUUGAAAUACCACCCUUUAAUGGCUGGUGUUCUAACGUAGACCCGUAAUCCGGGUUGCGGACAGUGUCUGGUGGGUAGUUUGACUGGGGCGGUCUCCUCCCAAAGAGUAACGGAGGAGCACGAAGGUUAGCUAAUCCUGGUCGGACAUCAGGAGGUUAGUGCAAUGGCAUAAGCUAGCUUGACUGCGAGAGUGACGGCUCGAGCAGGUGCGAAAGCAGGUCAUAGUGAUCCGGUGGUUCUGAAUGGAAGGGCCAUCGCUCAACGGAUAAAAGGUACUCCGGGGAUAACAGGCUGAUACCGCCCAAGAGUUCAUAUCGACGGCGGUGUUUGGCACCUCGAUGUCGGCUCAUCACAUCCUGGGGCUGAAGUAGGUCCCAAGGGUAUGGCUGUUCGCCAUUUAAAGUGGUACGCGAGCUGGGUUUAGAACGUCGUGAGACAGUUCGGUCCCUAUCUGCCGUGGGCGCUGGAGAAUUGAGGGGGGCUGCUCCUAGUACGAGAGGACCGGAGUGGACGCAUCACUGGUGUUCGGGUUGUCAUGCCAAUGGCACUGCCCGGUAGCUAAAUGCGGAAAAGAUAAGUGCUGAAAGCAUCUAAGCACGAAACUUGCCCCGAGAUGAGUUCUCCCUGAGACUUUAAGUCUCCUGAAGGAACGUUGAAGACGACGACGUUGAUAGGUCGGGUGUGUAAGCGCAGCGAUGCGUUGAGCUAACCGAUACUAAUGAACCGUGAGGCUUAACCUUACAACGCCGAAGAUGUUUUG
rnacentral:rRNA from 1 species